GAUGAACGCUGGCGGCGUGCUUAAUACAUGCAAGUCGAGCGAAAAGAUGCGGAGUUUGUUCCUUUGACGUUAGGGGCGCACGGGUGAGUCACACGUGGAUACUCCACUUAUCAGACUGGGAUAACUUCGGGACACCGGAGCUAAUCGCGGAUAAUAUAUUGAUCCGUAUGGUUCAAUAGUGAAAGUCGGUUUUUCUGUAUCUUAUAGCUGGUUCUGAGCCGCAUUAGCUAGUUGGUACGGUAACGGCUUAUCAAGGGAACGAUGCGUAGCCGACUUCCGGGACGGAUCGCCGACACUAGAACUGAGACACGGACCAGGCGCCUACGAUAGGCAGCAGUAGGGAAUCGUCCGCAAUAGGCGAAAGCCUUACAGAGCAACGGCACGUGAGAGAUGAAGAUCUUCGGAGCGUAAUACUCUGUUAUUAGUGAAGAACAAAUGUGUAAGUAACCAUACACGUCGUGACGGUAACUAAUCAGAAAGCCACGGCUAACUACGUG
rnacentral:rRNA from 1 species